rnacentral:rRNA from 1 species
CCUGAUAUUGAAAUUCGGCACAGCUUGUACAGGAUAGGUAGGAGCCUUUGAAACGUGAGCGCUAGCUUACGUGGAGGCGCUGGUGGGAUACUACCCUAGCUGUGUUGGCUUUCUAACCCGCACCACUUAUCGUGGUGGGAGACAGUGUCAGGCGGGCAGUUUGACUGGGGCGGUCGCCUCCUAAAAGGUAACGGAGGCGCUCAAAGGUUCCCUCAGAAUGGUUGGAAAUCAUUCAUAGAGUGUAAAGGCAUAAG